UAUCACCUGAUAUAGUCUGCAGUGUUCUUAAUGUAGCAGUAGUGGCAAUCCUUUGUGCAAUAAACUAUUACCCAAUUAAACACUUCCUACUUAACAAAUAGAAAGUAGGUGUAUAGGUGAAAAACAUGU
rnacentral:snoRNA from 1 species